UACGUAGGGGGCAAGCGUUGUCCGGAUUUAUUGGGCGUAAAAAGCGUGUAGGCGGCCAUGUAGGUCCGUUGUGAAAACUCGAGGCUCAACCUCGAGACGCCGAUGGAAACCAUGUGGCUAGAGUCCGGAAGAGGAGAGUGGAAUUCCUGGUGUAGCGGUGAAAUGCGCAGAUAUCAGGAAGAACACCCGUGGCUAAGGCGGCUCUCUAGUACGGUACUGACGCUGAGACGCGAAAGCGUGGGGAGCGAACAGG
rnacentral:rRNA from 1 species